GAUGCCGUAAGGGUAGCGAAGCUGCUCGUAGUAUUCCUGUUCCGCCCCGUUCUCCCGUACGUCGCUGUCGCGGUCGCGAUAGUCCAGCAGGCAAUCGACCAACUCGUCGGUCAUCACGGGAAGCCCACCCAGCGUGUCGCGGUCGGCGGUGUUGAUGUUGAUCUUGCCGGCCUGGU
rnacentral:rRNA from 1 species